rnacentral:lncRNA from 1 species
UGUGCUGUUAGUUUAUCUCUCUCUAUAUAUAUACACUCUUUGCAUGUUGUGCUGUUAGUUUAUCUCUCUCUAUAUAUAUACACUCUUUGCAUGUUGUGCUGUUAGUUUAUCUCUCUCUAUAUAUAUACACUCUUUGCAUGUAGUGCUGUUAGUAUAUCUCUCUCUAUAUAUAUACACUCUUUGCAUGUUGUGCUGUUAGUUUAUCUCUCUCUAUAUAUAUACACUCUUUGCAUGUUGUGCUGUUAGUUUAUCUCUCUCUAUAUAUAUACACUCUUUGCAUGUUGUGCUGUUAGUUUAUCU